GAUGAACGCUGGCGGCGUGCCUAAUACAUGCAAGUCGAGCGAACGGACGAGAAGCUUGCUUUUCUGAUGUUAGCGGCGGACGGGUGAGUAACACGUGGAUAACCUACCUAUAAGACUGGGAUAACUUCGGGAAACCGGAGCUAAUACCGGAUAAUAUUUUGAACCGCAUGGUUCAAGAGUGAAAGACGGUCUUGCUGUCACUUAUAGAUGGAUCCGCGCUGCAUUAGCUAGUUGGUAAGGUAACGGCUUACCAAGGCAACGAUGCAUAGCCGACCUGAGAGGGUGAUCGGCCACACUGGAACUGAGACACGGUCCAGACUCCUACGGGAGGCAGCAGUAGGGAAUCUUCCGCAAUGGGCGAAAGCCUGACGGAGCAACGCCGCGUGAGUGAUGAAGGUCUUCGGAUCGUAAAACUCUGUUAUUAGGGAAGAACAUAUGUGUAAGUAACCGUGCACAUCUUGACGGUACCUAAUCAGAAAGCCACGGCUAACUACGUG
rnacentral:rRNA from 1 species